UGCGUAGGUGGCAUGGUAAGUUUGAUGUGAAAGCUCAGGGCUUAACCCUGAAAUGGCAUUGAAUACUACUGUGCUGGAGGUUUGGAGGGGGGACUGGAAUUCUUGGUGUAGCAGUGAAAUGCGUAGAUAUCAAGAGGAACACCAGUGGCGAAGGCGAGUCCCUGGACAACACCUGACACUGAGGCACGAAAGCUCGGGGAGCAAACA
rnacentral:rRNA from 1 species